rfam:Arenitalea lutea strain CGMCC 1.12213 genome assembly, contig: Ga0079849_105
UAACAAGAGGAAAGAUUUGACUGAUUGCAACCUCUUUCAUACUAAACUUUAUAAAGUUAUCUUCCAGAGAUACUGAAACAAGUUAAGGAUGGAGCAAAAAUGCUAAAGGCAGUGUA